rnacentral:rRNA from 1 species
AUUCCAGCUCCAAUAGCGUAUAUUAAAGUUGUUGUGGUUAAAAAGCUCGUAGUUGGAUCUCGGCGGUCUGAGGGCGGUUCGCUUCAGAGCGCUACUGCCCUAUAGACCGUAGUUUUGCCAGAGGUCUCAGGGUGCUCUUAACCGAGUGUCUUGCGAUGCUGGCAGGUUUACUUUGAAAAAAUUAGAGUGCUCAAAGCAGGCUUUUACGCCUGAAUAUUCGUGCAUGGAAUAAUAGAAUAGGACUAUAGUCUCGUCGUUGGUUACGUGGACUGCAGUAAUGAUUAAUAGGGAUAGUUGGGGGCAUUAGUAUUUAAUUGUCAGAGGUGAAAUUCUUGGAUUAGUUAAAGACUAACGUAUGCGAAAGCAUUUGCCAAGGAUGUUUUCAUCA